GCGGCCUGGAGGGGAAGAGCAAGGCAGGGACGGAGAAGGACUCUGUGUGAGCCUCCCCAUGCCCACCCCAUCUGACCUCUCUGAGCAGCACCCUUAGCCACGACUGGACUAACCCAGCAAAAGGAUGCUUCUGGAUUGUGGCAGGGAAUCAACAUCUGAAUGUAACUAACAGAGCUUUACCUUAUCCACUUGCCCGGGACGGUAUUUACGCUAAUCCUAUUCCGACAAAAGCAACACUGACUAAUACGAGCUGCGCCUCAGCUCUGGUCCCACACAUCUGUCGGCUGCGUGGGGUAGCCUCUCCUGCCGCGCGGGCCUGCGCGUGGCUGCCAGGCUCUCAGCGGCCAGCCCGGAGGCGCCGAGGGGCAGCCGAUUGUUUGGCACCUAUAGAUGCGGCCCUGCUGGGGGCCAAGCGCUGUGCCGGGCAGUGGAGACGCAGCAGAGAAGACAGACAAGGUGGCCACUCCCAUGAAGCAUGUGCUCUGGUGGGAGAGGCAAAAAGCAAAGAAGUAAAUGAAGAAGUGAACACGGUGAGUGCAGACGGGGUUGAGUCCUAUGAAGACAAACAGCACUGACGCGUCAGAGAGGCUUGCGGGUGAGCACCUAAUUAGAGGGUGGCCAGGGAAGGCCCGUCUGAGGAGGUGGGACCUGAAUGACAAGGAGUCACCACGGGGCGGUCACAGUGCGCCAGGCAGAGGCACCAGCAAACGCCCAAGGAAGGGCCACAGUCAGCGAGUUUGAGGGACGGAAGGCCAGAGCGGCUGGAGCUUGGGGCAGGAGGCAAGAUGAGGUGGUGCCAGAGGUGAGGACACGUGGGACCUUGAGCACUGUGGGAGCCACUGGAGGGCUCUGAGCAGGGGAGUGGCGCGCCCUGCAGUGUGUUGAGACGUUCGCUUUGGUUGCUGGGUGGAGAAUCGACUACAGGAGGGACGGGAGGGCCCCAAGGAGACGAGGUAAGUGGCUCUGGCAUUGGGCAGGGGGAGAAGGGAAGGAUGGGUGACAUUUGGGAGGUGACAAGAAGAAUAAGACAAAAAGCGGAGAGUCCCUAGCACGGUCUGCGGCACCAAGCAGGGGCUCACGACGUGGUGGCCGGGGUUUGAUUAUUUUGACUCUGCUCCGCCACACAGUCUCUCCAAAAUAACACCUUUUAAAAAUGCUAAUAUUUGAUCAGCUUCAGUACUGGCCCAGAGGUCCCCGUAGCGAUGCUAGACACAUUUUCCCCGGUGGGCUGGCCUCAGAUCAUGCCCCACAGCUGUGGGCUGCUUCCCUCUGAAGUGAAGCCCCGUGGGCCACGUGCUUCCUGGCUCUGAGGCGAUCCGGCCCCAGCGCCUUCUCAGGGAGCUGGCCUGACCCAGCGCCAAGCUGAGAGCCACGAGAAACCCGCCGCCAAGGGCGGGCUGGCCCCAGUCCUGCACGGGGAGGUCCUCAGCGGGGACAGGCACCGGGUCUCACCUGCCUUCUAAUCCACUCCUCCAGUGCCGGGCGCUGAGUUCCCGCUCUGUGCAGACUCUGUGCUGGGGACACAGGAAUGAGUCAGACACCGUCCCCGCCUGGAGCUCGUGCCAAGACUGUGAGCUUCUUGGGGCCAGAGACUAUGUCUUCUUCAUCCCUGUGACCCUCGGACCUGGCACAUAAGAACUCGCUAAAUACGCACUGAACGAACGAUUUUAACAAGAUGAAGCAGCAGCAUUUGAUUGGACAUCCUGGUCCUGGAUCCUGAAACCAGCCUCCUUGGCUUAUGGGCAGUGUCACCGUACUAAUCGAAGCUCCCAAGGCCUUGUUUUCUGGAAGGACUCCCUUCGACAGCAAUAAUGGGCAGUAACAAACUAAGCCCUCACCCCAGCUGCCUGUGAUAAACGCAUCCAGAACACACUACAAAUCUCAGAGUGAGGCUCUGAGGCCUGAGGCUGCAGCAAAAGAAAACCAAGGUUGACAGGCACAAGUUUAAGAACCUGAUAUUCUCUAAAUGAAAAAAGGCCAGAUGCCUGUUUCUUCACCACUGAAUGCAGAAAGUGUGUUAUCUGAGCGUCCUGCCGUUUUUUAAACCUGGGACUCUAAUGAUAUUUGUUUGGUCAACUCUAAACUUCAUUUGUCAAAAAAAAAAAUCUAAUUUACUGAGUCUCACAGUGUUUCUUUCCUUUGCCUUAAAUUGUUGGGGUUUUUAAAUUUUUAAAACUUUUCUUACAUACCUGUUUAUGUAAGAACGUUUUUACCUUUCCAAAAUGCAUCCUCAAAAACUCCUCAGGCCUCCCACCAUCUGAAGGCCACAGGCCACGCUCCUCUACAAGGCCUCCCAGCCCUGUCUCCUUUUUCACCUCAUUUCUCUCCAUCAUCAUGCCUAAGAAGCUUGUGCCUCCACUGUCCAUACUGUUUGCCGCUCCUGAAACGAGGCAUGCGCGUCACACCUCUGUGCUUUGCGCACCCCCUCCCUCUGCUGAGAACUCCUACCUAUCCUUCAAGGCUGGGUUCAAAUGUCAACCCUCUGUGGAGACUCUGCUUCCCUUAGAAUGGUGUCAAUGACCCGUUUUUCCACUUUCUCAACAUUUAAAAGGAAUAUCUACGGUAAACACCAAAUGUGCUAUACUAUCAUUAUCUACCCCUGUGUCUAUCUCCCCACCAGACUAAGACUCCCCCAAGGGUGGAAAUUAGAUCUCAUUUACUGCAGUUUCCCCAGUGACUGUCUCGUCCUUGGCACACAGCAGAUGGGUAACAUUUGUUUGUUGAGUGAAUGAAUGAAAAUACAGACUCAAUCCCUACCCAAAGGAUCAGGAGCUCCAAUCUAACCACCACAAGAAAAGGAUCAAUCAGCUAUUGGAGCAGAUUCUAAUAGUAUUUAAUUUCCCAAAUUUCCUCUAGCAACCAAACACAUUUGGAAGACAUAUUCAUGCCGAGACCCACGGGUAACUCCGUGGUCCUUGGAACUUCUCCUGCCCCAUUUCAGGAGUGACCCUUUCACUCCGGUAGGCUGGAGCUCAGCGGGCCCUUAGCAGCGGGCCAGCUUAGACGGGGUCUGCGAGCCUUGUGCCCCUCAGCAGGCACCCGGAAUAGCUCGAUGAGUGUUCACAGGAAUUCUGCACAUGCAUCAAGAAGGAAACAGCCACGAAUAACCCAGCCUGCUCUCCCAAUCUGCAGGGCACAUCUCUGCAAUCACGUUACUUUCCAACUAUCACCACCUAAGCCUUUCAGCCAGAGAGCAAUUGGUUUUCGACUUACCCUGCGUUCCUAAGUUGGCAGAACUUUCUGGGUGUUUAUAAAUGAAGCUUCCUACCUCCAGUCUCUUCCCCAGCUCCAGCUUGCCUUCCACAGCCUGUUAACAGAAGACCAACCAAUUCCUGCUAAUCCAAACACCUUCACCUGAUGCUCAGGACCCUUCAGAUUUGGUUCUGGUCCUUGUGUUCCUCUCCUGCCUCAUCUCCAGCUAUUCUCCUGCAUGUGUGCUCCACUCCAGCCAUACCAAGCACCUUCCAGAUAUCUCACAGUUCUGAGUCUUUCCUUACUCUGCUUUCUCUGCCAGGCAUACACCUCAACCAGCCAAUUACCUACUUCUGCCCUUUAAGACUGCACACGGGUAUCACCUCCUCCAGGAAGCAUUCCCUGACUGGAUUAGAUGCCUUUCCUGUACACUCGUAACUAGUCAUUCAACUAUUCAAUAAA